AUCGUAACUCCUACGGGAGGCAGCAGUGGGGAAUCUUAGACAAUGGGCGCAAGCCUGAUCUAGCCAUGCCGCGUGGGUGAUGAAGGCCUUAGGGUCGUAAAGCCCUUUCGCCGGGGAAGAUAAUGACGGUACCCGGUAAAGAAACCCCGGCUAACUCCGUGCCAGCAGCCGCGGUAAUACGGAGGGGGUUAGCGUUGUUCGGAAUGACUGGGCGUAAAGCGCGCGUAGGCGGGCUGGAAAGUUGGGGGUGAAAUCCCGGGGCUCAACCCCGGAAUGGCCUUCAAGACUCCCAGCCUAGAGUUCGAGAGAGGUGAGUGGAAUUCCGAGUGUAGAGGUGAAAUUCGUAGAUAUUCGGAGGAACACCAGUGGCGAAGGCGGCUCACUGGCUCGACACUGACGCUGAGGUGCGAAAGCGUGGGGAGCAAACAGGAUUAGAAACCCUUGUAGUCCUAGAGC
rnacentral:rRNA from 1 species